AACGAACGCUGGCGGCAGGCCUAACACAUGCAAGUCGAGCGAGGACUUCGGUCCUAGCGGCGGACGGGUGAGUAACGCGUGGGGACGUGCCCUUUGCUUCGGAAUAGCCCUGGGAAACUGGGAGUAAUACCGGAUGAGCCCUUUGGGGGAAAGAUUUAUCGGCGAAGGAUCGGCCCGCGUUGGAUUAGGUAGUUGGUGGGGUAAUGGCCUACCAAGCCGACGAUCCAUAGCUGGUUUGAGAGGAUGAUCAGCCACACUGGGACUGAGACACGGCCCAGACUCCUACGGGAGGCAGCAGUGGGGAAUCUUAGACAAUGGGGGAAACCCUGAUCUAGCCAUGCCGCGUGAGCGAUGAAGGCCUUAGGGUUGUAAAGCUCUUUCAGCUGGGAAGAUAAUGACGGUACCAGCAGAAGAAGCCCCGGCUAACUCCGUG
rnacentral:rRNA from 1 species